rnacentral:rRNA from 1 species
UACAGAGGGUGCGAGCGUUGUCCGGAAUCACUGGGCGUAAAGGGCGCGUAGGUGGCGACCCAAGUCGAUGGUGAAAGCUCGCCGCUCAACGGCGAGUCGGCCACCGAUACUGGGUUGCUGGAGCACUGUAGAGGCAGAUGGAAUUCCGGGUGUAGCGGUGGAAUGCGUAGAGAUCCGGAAGAACACCGGUGGCGAAGGCGGUCUGCUGGGCAGUUGC